rnacentral:lncRNA from 1 species
CUUUGAAAUAAGCUCAGCAAUUCAAUCCUUGUUCUCUCUUUUACUCCUCCUGACUUCUGGAAUGAGUUCUAACUCAUUUGAAAUCUGUCAGUAAAAUUAUUUAAGGAGUUCAGCUGGCCUGUGGAGGGACCUGCAAGUCACAACGAGUGCAGGAGAGAAGAGAAAGAAUUUAGUCAAGAAUGAAGUUGGAAAAACUCCUGUAAUAUUUGCUCAAGCUAUCUUUCUAACAAGAUUACUGUCUGGAUAACUUCAGCCACAUUCAGCAGAAGCACAAUUUAGCAUCGUACAAAAAAAUUACCACAAUUUCUGUUCUUUGAUGAAGAAACAAGUUGCUUUGGGAAUGGCAGAAGUAACAAAUUUGUGUGCUACUUCCCCAUUGUGACGAUUAUCCAACUACACCACGUCCUUCUGGGGUACUGACUGGAAGCUCUCUGCACGCCCUGUAACGGUGCUGGAAGCAGUUGACUCUCUGCCACCUUGCCCCUGCCUAACCCUGAUGUCCUCUCCUUACUGAAAUAUACUGCAUUAGC